rnacentral:misc_RNA from 1 species
CCAAAUUAAUAUUAUUUUCAAACUUUAAAUCUUUACUUGCUAGCAAAGUAGCAAGUUGUAACUCGUCCAUAAUUCUUUAGAAUCCUAAAGCCAGUAAAUCCUUACCUUUGCACCCUUGAGCCAUAUACACUUCUUGAGUUGUAUACUCGUAUUAAUUAUAGGUAUUCACUUCCCAUUCAUUUAUUACUGUCAGCACUCGUCAUCGUCAUGUCCGAAGAAGUUGUUGCAAAAGUGUUGUCCGGUACUGAACUAUCCAAGGAAACGAAGAGCAACUUGAAAAAACAAACUGAUGCACUUGCUGAACAUUUUAAUGGGUUUAAAGCUCGCCUCAUUAUUGUUCAAGUAGGAGGACGCGAUGAUUCCAAUGUCUAUAUCAGGCAAAAAAUUAAGUCUGCGGCCGAAGUGGGUGUGGAAGCAUCACAUGUACAGUAUCCCAAGACAAUCACUCAAAAUGAGUUAUUGUCAGAAAUCAACAAAUACAACAUCGAUUCAUCUGUACAUGGUAUUAUUGUUCAAAUGCCUUUAGAUUGUAUAGAAAAUAUUGAUUCACAUUUGAUCACCAAUGCUGUUUCUCCUGAAAAGGAUGUUGACGGUUUAAACAUUGUUAAUGAAGGUCGAGUAGCUAUUGGUGAUCUAACUGGUCUGAUUCCUUGCACUCCAAAUGGUGUUAUUCAACUUAUCAAAAGAAGUGGAAUUGAAAUUUCUGGAACAAGGGCUGUAGUGUUGGGCCGCAGUAAAAUUGUCGGGGCACCUGUGGCUAGUUUACUAUUAUGGCAUAAUGCUACUGUUACAAUUUGUCAUUCUAAAACUAAGGACAUUGAAAAAGAAGUGUCUAAAGCAGAUAUUUUAGUUGUUGCUAUUGGGAAACCAGAAUUUGUUCAUGGGUCAUGGAUAAAACCCGGAGCAGUAGUUAUAGACUGUGGUAUCAACUCUAUUCAAGACUCUUCAAAAAAGUCUGGUUAUCGUUUGGUUGGAGAUGUUCACUACUCAUCAACAUCUCUGAGAGCAUCUGCCAUAACACCAGUGCCUGGUGGUGUUGGGCCUAUGACUGUUGCUAUGUUGCUAUCUAAUACUGUACAAGCAGCUACAAAGGUUGCAAACAAUAUCUUCAAGUCCCAAUGGAAUUUAGACAUACUUCCAUUAAAACUUCAAAGACCAGUGCCUAGUGAUAUUGAAAUCGCUAGAAGUCAAGAACCAAAGAAUAUAAUGUUGUUGGCUAAAGAAAUUGGUCUUAAAGAAUCUGAGGUGAUUUUAUAUGGUAAUAAAAAGGCUAAAAUUUGCAUAUCCACUUUAGACCGCCUAAAGAACAUAAAUAACGGAAAAUAUAUUGUUAUUACUGGUAUCACACCAACAUCUUUUGGUGAAGGCAAGAGCACAACAACAGUAGGUCUCGUUCAAGCAUUAGCAGCACACUCCAAGAAAAAUACUAUCGCGUGUUUGAGACAGCCUUCACAAGGACCAACGUUUGGAAUCAAAGGUGGUGCGGCAGGUGGUGGUUACUCCCAAGUGAUACCAAUGGAAGAUUUCAACCUCCAUCUGACUGGUGAUAUACACGCAGUAACUGCUGCUAACAAUUUAAUGGCUGCACAAAUUGACGCCCGUAUGUUCCACGAGGCUACUCAAAAAGACCAAGCUUUAUAUGAUCGUCUUGUACCAACUGUGAAUGGUGUUCGUAAGUUCUCUCCAAUACAACUGAACAGGUUAAAGAGGCUUGGAAUCAACAAGACUGACCCAUCAACGUUGACUGCGGAAGAAAUCACUUCUUUUUCUAGGCUAAAUAUUGAUCCAGAUACUAUAUCAUGGAAUAGAGUAAUGGAUACAAAUGAUCGUUUCUUACGUAAAAUUACAAUUGGCCAGUCACCAACUGAGAAAAACCAUACUCGGCAAACAUGUUUUGACAUAUCUGUGGCCAGUGAAAUCAUGGCCAUUCUGGCUCUAGCCAAAGAUGCCAGCGAUUUAAAAGAAAGACUAUCACGUAUUGUAGUAGCGCAAGACAAGAAAAUUGGAAAUCUUACAUCAAAUAAAGAUGUCACUGCAGAUGACUUAGGUAUGACUGGUGCAAUGGCUGUGCUUUUGAAAGACGCUAUUAACCCAACAUUGAUGCAGACACUUGAGGGGACCCCAGUACUGGUACAUGCUGGCCCAUUUGCUAAUAUUGCUCAUGGUGCCUCAUCUAUUGUAGCAGAUUUACUUGCUUCUAAACUAGUAGGUCCCGAUGGCUAUGUUGUUACUGAAGCUGGUUUUGGAUCAGAUAUUGGAAUGGAAAAAUUUUUCAACAUCAAAACCAGAUAUUCUGGUCUUUUGCCUAGUACCAUAGUAUUAGUAUGUACUGUUAGGGCCUUAAGAAUGCAUGGUGGUGGAGCCAUCAGUCCCAAUGUUUCUGCUACACCAGUAGAAAAAGAAGAAGCAUUGAGUAAAGGUGUAGCGAAUUUGCAAAAGCACGUCAGCAAUUGUGUUAAAUAUGGUGUUCCUGUUGUUGUGGCCAUAAACGCUAUGAAGGCAGAUACUGAGAACGAAUGGAAAAUUGUAAGAGAUGCGAGUCUACAGGCAGGUGCAAUGGAUGCAGUUGUGAGCACUCAUUGGGAAAAUGGUGGAUCUGGAGCUAUUAAAUUAGCCGAGACUGUAAUUAAAGCCAGUCAACAACCCCAAGAAUUCAAAUUUUUGUAUGACCUGAAUAUGCCAUUGCAGCUUAAGAUCGAAAUUAUUGCUAAGGAAAUGUAUGGUGCAAAAUCUGUGGAGUAUAAUGAACAUGUUUUAAACAAAUUAAGUUCAUACCAAUCCAAGGGUUAUGGAAAUUUACCAGUUUGUGUGGCAAAAACAGCAUUGUCAUUAAGCGGAGAUCCAAAUCUAAAAGGUGUUCCCACAAACUUCACAUUACCAAUAGUGGAUGUAUAUGUAUCUGCUGGUGCCGGAUUUGUUGUUACAAUAGCCGGAGAAAUUUCCAAAAUGCCUGGCUUGUCUACUCGUCCUAGUAUUUACGAUAUCGACUUAAAUACUGAAACAGGAGAAAUUAUUGGUCUAUUUUAGUAAAGUAAUUAUAUCAUACCCAUAUAGUCAUUAUAGUGCCAUAAAGAUUCUUGUUGAAACACAAAUAGUAAAAAUGUUGAUGUGUCAGUGUCAAUUGUUUUAAAACAGUGAGCUAAUGGUACUUUAAAAAUGAUUUCGAGGUCCACAAUUGGCCCAUUAAAUUAAUAUCUUUUUAUGCAAACUGGCAUUAGUUACAUAAAUUAAAUUUGGUCAUGUUUCUGUAUGCUAUAACACUGUAAGUGUAGGGAAUUUUUAUUAUAUUUUUAUAUCUUAAUCAACAUUUUUAGUAUCUACUAUUGACAGCCUGAGUUAACAAUAAAGGAAAAUCUUAUAAAAUAUUAAAAACCAAAAUAAAUUGAACACAAUUUUUGAAUUUUAGAGAAAUUUAUAGAUUCUAUUAUACACACAUUAACAAUUAAAACUUUGUGUAGAUUAGAAUCAUUAUGUAAUAAGUUAUAAGUUUUAAUAACUUAAGUUAAAACAACUUUCACAUUUCGGUAUGUAGGGCAAUAAAGCAAUUAAAGUUUAAUACCUUUUUCAUAUGGUACAAUUUAAAAGUUCAUAUUAAGCAAUGUUCUUCUAAUCUGAGAUAAACCGUAGAAAUUGCACCUUCUAUAGAGUUAUUUAAAUUCUUAUUUUCAUAUUUUAGUACCUUUAUAAUCAAUGAUAAUAAAGCAUACUCUU